rnacentral:rRNA from 1 species
GAUGAACGCUAGCGGCAGGCCUAAUACAUGCAAGUCGAACGGGAUCCAGAUCAAAGCUUGCUUUGGUUUGGUGAGAGUGGCGCACGGGUGCGUAACGCGUGAGCAACCUACCCUUGUCAGGGGGAUAGCCCGGCGAAAGUCGGAUUAAUACCGCAUGACAUCAUUGAGAGGCAUCUUUCGAUGAUCAAAGAUUUAUCGGACAAGGAUGGGCUCGCGUGACAUUAGCUAGUUGGUAAGGUAACGGCUUACCAAGGCUACGAUGUCUAGGGGCUCUGAGAGGAGAAUCCCCCACACUGGUACUGAGACACGGACCAGACUCCUACGGGAGGCAGCAGUAAGGAAUAUUGGUCAAUGGACGGAAGUCUGAACCAGCCAUGCCGCAUGCAGGAAGACGGCCCUAUGGGUUGUAAACUGCUUUUAUACGGGAACAAACGUCGGUACGUGUACCGGUCUGAGUGUACCGUAAGAAUAAGGAUCGGCUAACUCCGUG